GGUUUUCACCCAAGAUUUGACGGUACAUGGCCCCGUCCAUCGUCCCUUUGAUGCGGUGAAGUUGUCCUGUCCCCUUAGCAGAAAAACACCCCCAAAGCAUAAUGUUUCCACCUCCAUGUUUGACGGUGGGGAUGGUGUUCUUGGGGUCAUAGGCAGCAUUCCUCCUCCUCCAAACACAGGAGUUGAGUUGAUGCCAAAGAGCUCCAUUUUGGUCUCAUCUGACCACAACACUUUCACCCAGUUGUCCUCUGAAUCAUUGACAAACUUCAGACGGGCAUGUAUAUGUGCUUUCUUGAGCAGAGGGAUCUUGCGGGCGCUGCAGGAUUUCAGUCCUUUACGGCGUACUGUGUUACCAACUGUUUUCUUGGUGUCUAUGGUCCCAGUUGCCUUGAGAUAAUUGACAAGAUUCUCCCGUGUAUUUCUGGGCGGAUUCCUCACCGUUCUCAUGAUCAUUGCAACUCCACGAGCAAUUGGAGAGUACAGCCAUGUCUUUAGCUGCAUGCAGUGAGGCAUGGGGCGUCUGCGAGAAUGCCGGCAAUUCACGGAGCAAGACCAGAGGUCGAGCCAUGCUGCCCACGUCUAGAGAGGUGGAGGUGAAUGUGAGUGUGCGCCACAUGUACCUGUACAGCCGCGAGGUGCGUGGGGUGGUGGCACGUCUCCGCGCCGAGUGUGGGUCACUGUCCGUGCACGCAGUUGCCUUGGCCCACACUCAAGGUGAUCUGAACAAGGCCUUGGGACACGUUCGUAAUGAGAAACAGGCAAAUGUGCAAGCAUCUAGCAUGCGAUCGCGACGACCUACACGUGAGGUGGUAAGUCUUGAAUAAUAAUAAUUUAGUUGACAGUAAUACCCCGGUUUAUGUCAGGGAUGCUUUUCUUAAAUGUGCGACAACGAAUACCGAAACGACGUAAAUCAACGCAAUUUUGCCACGAGGACUAAACAAUGCUGAAGCCGUGUUAAUGCGUGCAUCUUCAUCCUAGACGUAUCCGCAACAUUACAUUCAAUUACUAAAAAUACUACACUCAAUACUAGUUUCGGCAGUAAACGUUAAAACAUUAUUAGCAGUACAUUAUGAAAAUAAAAUCACUAAAAUAUCAUGCGUAAUUACUAUAUUGUACUCCAUAGUACAGAACAUUUCUUUAUGCGCGAUGCAAAGUAGUUUGUGUACAGGGUUAGGUGGAGGUGAAGGUUGAGAGGCGACAGUUACGAGAAAGGGCAGACGAUGCUGUCAGGACAUGAGUGUGGGUUGAGGCAAUGCUAGUCGGGUAGCGGUGGUGUUGAUAAUGAAGUGACAACGUAUUUUCUAAACGAUAUAAAAGGGGGAGGUGUAAAAUCGCAAGGCUUACAGC